rnacentral:tRNA from 1 species
GGGGAUGUAGCCAAGGGGAUCAAGG